GGCUGCUCAAUGUCAUUUGUACAUGAUGCAAAUUUCUUGUUUUAGUAAUAUAAGUAACUUUAACAAAUCUGAAUAUCUGUAGUUUUAGGCCUCUUUUGACAAGUUCAUUUUUCGGAAUUGUAUUUGUAUCUAGUUCUUUGGAAUUUAUAAUUGCUUGUUUGAAUACAUGUACUCGUUAUUUUUUCAUCAGAUUUUCAAAUUCUUGAUGAUUUAAAUUGAUUUUGAAGGGAAAAAAAAAAUAUUCUGUAAUUGAGUAUACAGGUAUAUACAAAAUUCUACUUAGGUAACCUCACUAUGAUGCUCACAGCUUAACAUGGCAAACAGCCACAAGUAUCAUAUGCUUAAUCGAAUCAAGUAAACCAACUCCAUCAUGUCAUUGCUUAUCUUUUCUGUGCAGAUUAGUGAUCAGCAUUACCUCCAGCAAAUGCUCAACCCCAAACUGCCCCAACUGCAGGGAGCCAUAUGCAUCUGUUGCUCUAAUGGGCAAAAAAGUGCUUAAAGAUAUCAGAGUUGGCGUGCGCUGUGUGCUCUACAAAAACAAUUUAUCAAUGGCGUGAGCUGCAGAUAUAUGUGGAAUCAAAACAGGGUAAAGCAAAUAGAACAAAGGAUAGUGAAGAGGCUUGCCAACUUUAUCAUCAACUAUUAGUAGGAGUGACUAGGUUUAUACAUGAUCUGAUCAUAUAUGCUUUGCAUUAUUGGACGCAGGAGGCUAUCAACAGGAAUAUGCGCAUUCACAAGUCUUCCAGUCGAAACAUGUUGCGUUGUAAAGCUGCCAAUAUUUGGAAUGACACAGUACCUUGCAGUCGUUGGGGUUGCAAGAUUUUUCUGGUCCUAUGCUCAUAUCAAGCUUGUCAUAGCACGUUACCUCUCUACAACUCACUCCACCUGCAACGUUAAGUAGUCGCAUUUAUGUAUAAUUUUUCAUAUAAUUUCUACACAGAGAGAGAGAGAGAGAGAGAGAGAGAGAGAGAGAGAGAGAGAGAGAGAGAGAGAGUCUACCUGCUGAGAUGGCAAAGAAAAGCACAAGCAUGAAAGAGAGAGCAAUGGCUUUCUUCAUAUUGUGAACAAAGGUCUUACAGAAACUUCGAAUGAGAUUCGAUUCUGGUGCUGGUGCUGGUACUGUGCAUAAUUGACUACAUGAUCUACUUAUUUAUUGGUGAAGGGUUGGCCUUAUCAAAUAGCUUUUUGAAUGAGUUUGGAUUGAGAAAAAUCAGACGCAGAGACCAAUUUUAGAUUGGGGUCAACUAAUUAGGUUGAUAGAAGAAUCCAUCAUUAAUUGUGUGUGUGUGUAUACAGCCAAAACAGCCUCUGCUCAACUAAGUGCCUUGACUCGCAAGGAAUGUCUAAAAUAGAUCCUAUGCCUGACUCAUUCUAAAUAAGCCCCUAGCUGGCAAGUGAUCCUGUGGGCAUGGUAGCAUUUUCAUUUUUGUCAACACAGAUACAAUAUCGAUACGCAAAAUAACAUGGCUACAAAUUAAUUUUGUUUACUGCAAA